rnacentral:lncRNA from 1 species
UUACCUGAAGUGGGUUACCUGAAGUUCCUAGACCUGGGGUUCGAAAUUCAUCAACGGGACACCCCGAUACCCACUGCACAGAAGCCAUUGGUCUCUUGGACAAAGAAGGCCCAAUGGCACGAGACAAAAGGAGGUCAAUACAUUAUCGGUCCAUGGGUGUUGCCAUGGAGAGGUGGGUAAAAUAUUUACCAUCUCGGGGGUCUCUACGAUUGUUUUCCGAGCCAAUUGCACCAGAUAUGUUGCAGAAGAACACUGAAGAAGCCACGCACCCAGGUCAUUUCAGGAAGCAAAGGUCUUUAUUUCUCACCGAUCUGGUCUCAGCUGAACUCAAAAGGUCUGAGUACUGAACACAUGAAGUAGAGGUUUUUUUAUAAGCAUGCAUUCCCCUUACACCAAUCAGCAAACAGGAUACACAGGAUUACCUUAUAUGGGUAGGCAACAUGGCCCUUGAGGAGAAUAUACACCCUGUUCAAAAUUAUUAUUGAUGCAAAUUCUAUUUAAGUGUCACAAAGAUUAAAUAUUUUGUUUUUCAGUUUAAUUCAUGGAUGGCAUUGUGUCUCAGGGCUCUUUUGAUCACUGAAAACAAUCUCGGACACCUGUGAUAAUUACAUUGCCAGGUGAGGAAAAAGUACUAAAGGAGGGUGUUCCACAUUAUUAAGCAGAGCACCAUUUUCAUGCAAUAUGGGGAAGAAAAAGGAUCUCUCUGCUGCCGAAAAGAGUGAAGUAGUUCAAUGCCUUGGACGAGGUAUGAAAACAUUAGAUAUUUCACGAAAACUUAAGCGUGAUCAUCACACUAUUAAAAGAUUUGUGGCUGAUUCAGAGCAGAUAAAGGCACAUUGAGGAAAUUUCUGCCAGAUCCAUGCAUUGGAUCAAGAGAGCAGCUGCUAAAAUACCAUUAUAUAGCAGCAAACAGAUAUUUGAAGCUGCUGGUACCUCUGGAGUCCCACUGACAUCAAGGUGUAGAGUCCUCCAGAGUCUUGCAACUGUGCAUAAACCUUCUAUUCGGCCACCACUAACCAAUGCUCACAAGCAGAAAUGGCUGCAUUGGGCAGAAAAAUACAUGACUAAUUUUCAAACAGUCCUAUUCACUGAUGAGUGCCAUGCAACCCUGGAUGGUCCAGAUGGAUAGAGUAGUGGAUGGUCGGUGGACGGUCACCCUGUUCCAACAAGGCUGCAACGUCAGCAAGGUGGUGGUGGAGUCAUGUUUUGGGCCGGAAUCAUGGAAAGAGACCUGGUCGGCCCCUUUAGAGUCCCCAAAGGUGUAAAGAUGACCUCUGCAAAGUAUGUGGUGUUUCUGACUGACCACUUUGUCCCUGGUACAGAAGAAAGAACUAUGCUUUCCGUAAUAAAAUCAUCUUCAUGCAUGACAAUGCACCAUCUCAUGCUGCAAAGAAUACUUCUGCAUCAAUGGCUGCUAUGGGGAUAAAAGGAGAGAAAGUCAUGGUGUUGCCUCCAUCCUCCCCUGACCUCGAUCCUAUUGAGAACCUUUGGAGCAUCCUCAAGCAAAAGAUCUAUGAGGGUGGGAUUCAGUUUACAUCCAAACAGCAGCUCUGGGAGGCUAUUCUGACAUCUUGCAAACAAAUUCAAGCAGAAACUGUCCAAAAACUCACAAGUUCAAUGGAUGCAAGACUUGUGAAGCUGCUAUCAAAUAAAGGGUCUAUAAGGGGUCUAUGUUAAAAUGUAACGUGACCUGUGGAAAUGUUUAAAAAGUUAAAAUGUUGUUAUAAGUUUGAUUGAAAUCGCUUUUGAUUUCAGUAAAUAUGCUGCAAACACAACAAAUGACAAUUUUCAGUUCCCGCCAACCGGGAUGUUUUCUUGUGGACUGCCUGCCCCUGUCUGGGGCCACAGGGCUGGGCGAGCGACUCUUGAGCCGCCCUCAACGCCGGGCCAAUCCUUAAAGCGCCCAAAGGUGGAGGUGCAGAGAAGAGCCCUGUCACAGGGGGGCCAUUUGGCCACCCCAGAACGCACCAGAUGCAGACACCUAAUUACAUUGAUGGCAGGUGUCUGCUCUGCCAACAAAUGCAGGUGACCUGGGGAGAGGGGGACGGAGAAGGCAGGCUGCGAGGGAGCUGUUCUUGCAGCCUCUCACUCCUCCCUCGCACACCCUCUGUGAUGCCGGGAGACGGAAUAUGAUGUCUUUCUGGCCCUGAGAUACUAAACAGCGCGCUGGAGGAGUGAGGAACUGCCCCAUACUGGACCACAGGGAGGUAGGGAGGAUGGAUAGGCCUCAAAAAAUAAAAUUGUGUGAGUCUGUGUGUCAAUGAGUCUAUGUAUGUCAGUGAGUGUAUGUAUGUCAGUGAGUGAGUGAGUGUCUGUGUGUGUGUGUGUAUGUCAAUGAAUGAGUGUAUGUUUGUCUGUCAGUAAGUGUGUGUGUGUGUCUGUCAGUGUAUGUCUGUCAGUGAGGGAGUGUAUGUCUGUAUGUCUGUCAGUGAGUGUGUGUGUGUUUGUGUGUCUGUCAGUGAGUGUGUGUCUGUCAGUGAGGGAGUGUAUGUCUGUUAGUGGGUUUUUAUGUGUGUGUGUGUCAGUGAGUGUGUAUGUGUCUACCAGUGUGUGUCUGUCAGUGAGUGCGUGACAUGAGGGGGCGGCAAUACGGAUUUUUGCCAAGGGCGGCGAAAUCCUUGCACCAGCCCUGCAUAUACUCUUCCUUACAUAUACAAUAUUCAAAUAAUGUCAUAUUUAUUUAAAAAAUAUUCUUUACUACCUCUAAUCAGGCUUGUUCUCCAAUAUGGGAUUAACAUAGCUCGCAUCCGCCCCUAUUUAACACCAGACACUGCUAAGGUGCUGGUCCAUGCUGUUGUUCUUUCUCGCCUUGACUACUGAAAUCCCCUUCUCAGUGGUCUUACGUGUUCCCAGAGUGCACCGCUGCUAUCUAUAAUGAAUUCGGCGGUGAGGCUCAUUUUCCUGUCCGCCAGCACCUCCCAUUGGCUUCCUGUUAGAUAUAGGGCACAAUUUAAGAUUCUGGUGCUUACAAGUCCCUACAUAAUGUUGCUCCAUCUACCUAUCCUCCCUAAUACACAAGUAUGCCCCGUCGAGGCCCCUGCGCUCUGCCGAUAACCUACGUCUAUCCUCUGUCCUUACUUCCACAUCUGAUGCUCACCUCCAAGACUUCUCCAGGGCUGCACCUUUUCUGUGGAUCUCCCUUCCCUUCUCUGUUAGACUUUCACCCAGUUUCCAAUCCUUCAAAAAAUCUUUAAAAACACACUUCUUCAGGAAAGCAUAUCAUUUAAACUGUUAGCGGGUAUUAAUUCCUCUUCCACCCCAUGACUCCUCUCCUGCAAUUGUCAAAAAUAACCCAAGUUCUCAAUGAAUACUUUUACUUAGCAACCUAUUUCAUUACCCGUACACCCAAGAAUGGUUUAAGCUUUGUGUCACUAUACCCCACUCCCUCUAGCACAGGCUUCCCCAAACGGAGUUGUAGUUCAGCAACAUCUGGAGGGCUGGAGUUUAGGGAAGCCUGCUCUAGCAUGUAAGGUCAUUGAGCAGGGCCCUCAACUCCUCUGUUCCUGUGCGUCCAUUUGUCUGGUUACAAUUACGUGUCUGUUAGUCCACCCAUUGUACAACGUUACGGAAUUUGCUGGCGCUAUAGAAAUAAUAAUAAUAAUAAACGUAAAUAUCCGUGUCUACCUGUAUCAUUUGGAAUUUAAAUCAAAAUAAAUAAUUUUCUUGAGGCAGGGUGUAGAAUAUUACAUAUUCUAUAUGUCCCUAUUCAAAUACAUAUUAAGGUGUGGCUGUCUAAUGGGUUAAAAAGAACAGAUGGUGUUGGCUAUUCUGCACCAUGAGGGCUCGGGAAUGUGCUGUAUAGGGAUAUAGAGGGUAGGGUCCUUAUGUGGGGAGUUUCCUUAAGAGGCCAGAGUCUAAAUGAAACGUUAUGACGUAAUUUUGCCUAUAUAAAGGAAGAGGACAAUAGACCACGUUCUCUUCCUCCGACGAUCCGCUCUCCUCUCCUAAUUUGUUCCCUACUUGCUGAUACAUUUGAUACUUAAAGGGACACCGUAGGCACUGUAUCUUCUUCAUCUCAUUAAACUGGUUAUAAUGUCUGGAGUCUUCUGGUCCCAUCUUUUCUAUCAGCAUUAAACAGUUUUUAAAGUUUUAAUGUUUUAAUGCUAAACAAGAGACCCUGGCAGUCCAUCCCAUCUGUGCUGCUUUGGCUAAUAAGGAAGUAUUAGCCUGAGCAGAAAUGGGCAGCUGUGAUUGGCUGAGAGUGUCAGCUGACUGCUUCUAGCCUGUCAGAGUUCCAACUGACGGUAUGAGUGGGUAUGACAACAAGAAAGUGUGUAAUCUCUGCCUUAGCUACACAUACUGAAGGGGCCGGACUGUGGGUGGCCAGGGAUUCUUAUUUUGUGGCAUACUGCACGAACAUGGUGCAACACUGAAUGGAGGGACAGUGCCAGGCCACUCCAGGCACUAUAACCAAUUCAAAGAGAUGAAAUAUAGUGACUACAGUGUCCCUUUAAGAUAUCUCACUCUCUGUAACGUUGUUAAGAAAUAUCAUCUGUUAAGUAUAUUAUUGUUUGCUGUUGAAGUCGAAUAAAUGCAUAUUUUUUUAUAAAGAACAUCAGAUUGCAUAUUAGUACUUUUCAUUAAUCUAGAAGUAUAUUAAUGUAGCGAGCCUUUGACCCAAAUAGAAAUACCUAUAUAUAAAAGAAUUAUUCAACGAAAUAAACACAGAACAGUUAUAACACAGGG